rnacentral:rRNA from 1 species
GUGUGUCGUGAGGCAUGCUGGAGGUAUCAGAAGUGCGAAUGCUGACAUAAGUAACGAUAAAGCGGGUGAAAAGCCCGCUCGCCGGAAGACCAAGGGUUCCUGUCCAACGUUAAUCGGGGCAGGGUGAGUCGACCCCUAAGGCGAGGCCGAAAGGCGUAGUCGAUGGGAAACGGGUUAAUAUUCCCGUACUUGGUGUUACUGCGAAGGGGGGACGGAGAAGGCUAUGUUGGCCGGGCGACGGUUGUCCCGGUUUAAGCGUGUAGGUGUGUGUUCCAGGUAAAUCCGGUUCACUUUAACACUGAGGCGUGACGACGAGGCACUACGGUGCUGAAGCAACAAAUGCCCUGCUUCCAGGAAAA